CAGGGGACGCAAUGCAGGCAGACGGCUUCGCACCUGUGAUGCCACUGGACGACGAGGAACACAGCUUGCAGUGCGCGGGACAUGCAGGCUUCGUCUCGAAUGCUGCAAGUUGGGCCCUAGCCUCUUGCGCCUAGAGUGGCCGCCAUCCGCCAGCUGUGCCGACGUCUCGCACCGCACAAACGGCCCCAUCUCACGCCAAAGGAGGAGGGGCACGGUUCCUCGUGGCUACCGCGUGCUGUUGCGGUGUGGAGGCGGCUUCCGUGACUGUCAGCAGAACACUCCCUCACAAAAUGCAACGAACAGGCAGUCAGCUGGCAUAUCUGCGAUGAGCUUGCAAAAAGCUGCGAGGGAGCAACCGAGAGGAAGACUCACCCGCCGGCUGCCGCUCCGGAGUAACCGGAACCGGACGUUCCGUACGGCGAAGAGGCCCCGUACGC